AAGGAUAUUACUCGCGUGCACCUUUCUAUGGAUAUUACUCGCGUGCACCUUCGAAAACACUUCCAACGCCUUAUCAAACUUUCUUAAGUUUGUGUAUCUAUCUUUUGUAGGCACCAAAUUUACUAUAUAGGCAAAUUUGAUAUGUAAAGCAAAAAAUUUACAAAUAACAUGAAUAAAAAAUAUAAUAAUAUAAUACCAAAGUUGAAAAAGAACUAGGUUGAAGCAGAGUCGAGAUUAGAUAUCUUUCCUUAAUCCUUUAAACGCCCGUAGUGUGCCGGUUUGAUACGUUUAAGAAUCCCAGGAUACAACUGCCUAUAUCUUCAGUCUCACAGCACUUGAGAACCAAAGCCUGUCGAACUUAUUUCUAUGUUAUACUCUCAGACACAAAACAAAAAAAAAUAGGAGAAAGUGGUUUUGUUUGUAUUGGAUGUGUAUAUAGAAUGAGAAGAGCAUGGUUUUAUAUAGCCUCAUAAAAUAACGUGCAUCACAAAGCACUAAAUGGAGAUUUUAAUUUUGAUUCUAUCAUGAUUAUGAAAUCAUGGGCUGUAUUGAUUCUCCAUAUGUUACAGCAUUGAAUCCAAAAUCAAAUUCAUUAUUGGUCAAAGACGUUAGUCAAAGAAGAGAGACAAAGAGAUCUUUUGCUUUAUUAUUUGUAAGAUAAUUAGCAAUAGACUUUGGGCUAAGCAAAUAAAUCUCAGUCCAGCCCAAGCAUCUCUUUACUUAACACACCAAAGUGUUUACAAAGUUUUUUUAUAACUUUGUUAUAACUUCUCCAUUUUAAACACAAGAGGUUUCUUACCUCACAGUUCUAAUAUAGAUAUUUUACAAAUAAUCUAUUUUAGACUUUCAUUUCUCAUUCAAACGAACUUCGUUUUUGAUAUAUGAUUACACUAUACCAUAGUGCUCAUAACAAUAAAUCCUACGAUUCCACAAUCCGGUCAUUUCGACAAUCAAAUUGCUCGAAAAAUUUACCGGAAUAUUGGCCAUAGCCAUUUGUCCAAAAAACAGUUCCAACAUCUUUAUGUUACUUUGUUUGGUUUGCUCUUCAAAUUUCAGAAGGGAUUGCACAUCUUAUGUCGGAUGUUGCAUUAACAUUUGUAAUCGUUUAAGAUUAUCAAUGAAAAUCAUGUUGUGAACAAAAAAAAAAAAAAACAUGCAUGCUCUAGCUAGUACCGAACAAACCUUUACUCGUGCCAACUUCCCUAAAGGAUUUCAUUUUUGGUACCUCAACCGCAGCUUUUCAGGUGUCAUACCUGAUCAGAUAGUACAUUAUAUUAUAUAUACCCUUGUACGAACUGACCAGUUCUAUUGAACCGGUCCUAGCUACAAAGAUUGAAUAAAAACCUCCCUUCCUAAAAAACAGCCUGUACUUUUGAG
rnacentral:lncRNA from 1 species